GUCUGUAUGACUCAGAUCCGGGUCACUCGGUAUCUGGGCGGCUUGAGAAGGAGCUGACAAGCUCGGACUUCUCCGCCCGCCACCCUGGAAGACGUUCCAGGGGA
rfam:Mesocricetus auratus contig038884, whole genome shotgun sequence.